UCCGUAGGUGAACCUGCGGAAGGAUCAUUACCGAGUUUUCGGGCUUCGGCUCGACUCUCCCACCCUUUGUGAACGUACCUCUGUUGCUUUGGCGGCUCCGGCCGCCAAAGGACCUCCAAACUCCAGUCAGUAAACGCAGACGUCUGAUAAACAAGUUAAUAAACUAAAACUUUCAACAACGGAUCUCUUGGUUCUGGCAUCGAUGAAGAACGCAGCGAAAUGCGAUAAGUAAUGUGAAUUGCAGAAUUCAGUGAAUCAUCGAAUCUUUGAACGCACAUUGCGCCCCUUGGUAUUCCGGGGGGCAUGCCUGUUCGAGCGUCAUUACAACCCUCAAGCUCUGCUUGGAAUUGGGCACCGUCCUCACUGCGGACGCGCCUCAAAGACCUCGGCGGUGGCUGUUCAGCCCUCAAGCGUAGUAGAAUACACCUCGCUUUGGAGUGGUUGGCGUCGCCCGCCGGACGAACCUUCUGAACUUUUCUCAAGGUUGACCUCGGAUCAGGUAGGGAUACCCGCUGAACUUAAGCAUAUCAAUAAGCGGAGGA
rnacentral:rRNA from 2 species